rnacentral:rRNA from 1 species
GGAAGCCCAGCACCGAACCUCGCACCUUCGGGUGUCGCGGAAUGUGGUGUUUAGGANGACCGUGCGCGUCUGUCCGGUAUCGUCCAAGUCUCCAUGAAUGGGGCCAGCAACCCAGAGAGGGUGUCAGGCCCGUGGGACGAGCCGCGACCGUGUAUUGGGUCUCUCCUUAGAGUCGGGUUGCUUGAGAGUGCAGCCCUAAGCGGGAGGUAAACUCCUUCUAAGGCUAAAUACGGCCACGAGACCGAUAGCGAACAAGUACCGCGAGGGAAAGUUGAAAAGAACUUUGAAGAGAGAGUUCAAUAGUGCGUGAAACCGUUCAGGGGGUUAAACGGGUGGGCCCUCGAAGGUCGAACGCUCCCUACUCCUGUUCCUGUAGGCUGGCACGUGCUGCUUUCCGAUCUCGCUACGAGACGGGGCUUGGUGUGGUAUGCCGGACUGCAGGGGCCGCUAGUUAGGGGGCCAGUAGGACUCCGCAACCGUCUGGGUAAGUCGUCAGAAGGGUUCUGGAGGAAGCCUCCUCUGGGGGUGAAAUCCGGGAUUCCGGGCGAUCUUCCCGGCCGUGAACCAGAAUUCCCCCGUCUGGCGUCUGGGACGAGUUUGCUGCGUCAAAAACAGUGAGCUGUCGGUUCUGGGCGUCACCGUGGGGACACCGCGGAGAGUAGAGUCGGGUCCCACCCGACCCGUCUUGAAACACGGACCAAGGAGUCUAACAUGUGCGCGAGUCGUCGGGUACUAUUAAACCCGAAGGCGCAAUGAAAGUGAAGACUGUGCCUCGUCGCCGGUCUAGGGGAGAUCCCGU